rnacentral:lncRNA from 12 species
CAAGCACGCAGGUCAGCAGUGGCCUGGCAUCUUGUGCACACGCGCACACGCACGUGCACACACGCCCACCGGGGGACAGGAUGCCCACCCCUCGGGCUCUGCACUCCGCCCCUCUGCCCACCACCCACACGGCGUACGCCUCUUCGCCCCGCACCCGCCAAGCCGCGCGGCUCUCGCUCACCGCGUCCCACCUACGGGUCUCCGUCCCUUUUGUCCUUCGCCGUCUCUCGGGAUGAGCACAAAGGGAGCCCGUCAGACUCCGCUCAGGCCUCUCACCCGUGGAUGGCAGCUCCGCUUCUGGAGGGUGGCGCCAACGCGGCCGGCAGACAGCGCGGGAGGCCCGGCCCAGCCGCGGGGUGAGGCCCCUGCAGGCGGGGGCUCAGAGGCCCGGGGGGGUAGCCCUCAGAUCCCUCCAACCCUGCAGACCCUCAUGGGUCCCCACCCCGGGCGGAUCUGUGCUCCCUCGGCCUGGCAAGACCACCCCUGCUUAUUGCAUUUCUGGUACUGCUGGUGUAGGAGGACCCCCUCCUGUGGCCAGGCUGGAUGGAGCAGAGCUGGAAGGAGGCAUGACCAGCGGGGAGCUUGCUCCAGCCCAGUUGGGAUGGUCCAGAUUCUCUUCCCUGCCUGCCCUGGAGCUCCAGAGCAGGGAUUCUAAUCGCCUUCCAGAAAACAGCUGCUAUUAGCUUCUCCCCUGAGCCUCCGAAUCCCCGGUGCUCAGCAAAAUUCCCCUCUGAUUGAAGCAGCUGUGCUCGGAGCUGAGCGUCCGCCUUCAGAGCUCAUCAAAGCCCCUCAAAGGGGAGAUUAGCAGCAACUUCCCAUCAGGCCCGGCAUUGUCACCAUUCACCGCGCCAGCCGCGCUCGGCCACCGCGGGCCCUCGCGGAAGACAUGGAAUUAGAGAGCGCGGGGCCCUCAGAAGCACGGAAUCAUCAAAUCUUCCCCCAAAUCAGCUUAGGGUGUUAGAAUUUUAAGGCUGCAUCCUUUCAGAAGCUCAGACUCUUAGAAGUCACCUCGAAUUUUAUUCCCAUUAAGUUUGGGGUAAAAUAAAUACAUCUAAUCUCUGACA